rnacentral:rRNA from 1 species
GGCGUGUACUGUCUGGCUGGGCCUUACCUCUAGGUGAGCCGGCGUGCCCUUUAUUGGUGUGCGUCGGGGAACCUCGACUUUUACCUUGCCAAAAUUAAAUUGUACAAAGCAAGCCUAUGCCCUAAUACAUUACCAUGGAAUAAUAAAAUAUGACGUGCGGUUCUAUUUUGUUGGUUUCUAGAUUCACCCCAAUGAUAAAGAGGGACAGUUGGGGGCAUUGGUAUUGAGUCUCUGGAGGUGAAAUUCUUGGAUUGACUCUGGACCAACAACUGCUAAAGCAUUUGCCAAGGAUGUUUUCCUUAAUCAUUAACCAAGGUUAAGGGAUCAAAAACCAUCAAAUACCGUUGUAGUCUUAACAGUAAAAUAUGCCGACUAGGGAUCGGGCGAUUUCAAAUUUAAUGGGUCGCUCGGCACCUUACGAGAAAUCAAAGUCUUUGGCUUAUGGGGGGAGUAUGGUCGCAAGGCUGAAAGUUCAAGGAAUUGACGGAAGGGCACCACCAGGUGUGGAGCAUCCGGGUUAAUUUGACUCAACCCGGGGAAACUCACCAGGUCCAGACAUAAAUAUGAUUGACAGAUUGAUAGGUGUUUCAUGAUGUCAUGGGUGGUGGUGCAUGGCCGUUUUUAGUUGGAGGAGUGAUUUGUAUGGUUAACUCCGAUAACGAACGAGACCUUAACCAGCUAAAUAGCCAGGCCGGCUUUUGCUGGUCGCAGUCUUCUUAGAGGGACUGUCGG